rnacentral:rRNA from 1 species
UGCGUAGGCGGUUUGGUAAGUCUUGUGUGAAAUCUCCAGGCUCAACUUGGAGUCUGCACGAGAAACUGCCGGGCUUGAGGAUGGGAGAGGUGAGUGGAAUUCCUGGUGUAGCGGUGAAAUGCGUAGAUAUCAGGAGGAACACCUGUGGCGAAAGCGGCUCACUGGACCAUCACUGACGCUGAUGCACGAAAGCUAGGGGAGCAAACAGGAUUAGAUACCCUGGUAGUCCUAGCCCUAAACGAUGACUGCUUGGUGUGACGGGUACCCAAUCCCGCCGUGCCGUAGCUAACGCGUUAAGCAGUCCGCCUGGGGAGUACGGUCGCAAGGCUGAA